rnacentral:rRNA from 1 species
GACGAACGCUGGCGGCGUGCCUAAUACAUGCAAGUAGAACGCACAGUUUAUACCGUAGCUUGCUCCACCAUAAACUGUGAGUUGCGAACGGGUGAGUAACGCGUAGGUAACCUGCCUGGUAGCGGGGGAUAACUAUUGGAAACGAUAGCUAAUACCGCAUAAUAUUGAUUAUUGCAUGAUAAUUGAUUGAAAGAUGCUAUUGCAUCACUACCAGAUGGACCUGCGUUGUAUUAGCUAGUAGGUGAGGUAACGGCUCACCUAGGCGACGAUACAUAGCCGACCUGAGAGGGUGAUCGGCCACACUGGGACUGAGACACGGCCCAGACUCCUACGGGAGGCAGCAGUAGGGAACCUUCGGCAAUAGACGAAAGUCUGACCGAGCAACGCCGCGUGAGUGAAGAAGGUUUUCGGAUCGUAAAGCUCUGUCGUAAGAGAAGAACGGGUGUGAGAGUGGAAAGUUCACACUGUGACGGUAUCUUACCAGAAAGGGACGGCUAACUACGUG